AGAUUUAUUAAACGCAAACCUUUUAUCUUUGAGAAAUUUAUAGUAAUGCCACUAGUUCCAAGGAAAACUAACUCUGGCUAUUGCUUUUGGGUAAUUAUUAGUAUGGCACUCUUCCGUUAAAUCUGUGUACAUUUUUUGGCACCGUCACUUUUUACCUGUUACCAUCGUCAGCACUCAGCACACAUUUUUUCCCCACGUCUCAGUUAUAGAACAAAACUACCAUGCCCCUGUUUUCCUCCUUUCAUCUCUCCAUUAUGUUCUCCUCUCCCCUAAUUAGCCAUGGCCAAGCAGCAUGCACCCUGCCCCAAGACCACUCCCAUGCACUCUCUGACUUGCCUCCUCCUCCUGCAUCAUGCUGCUUCCCUAGCCCUAGUGCAUGCUUGAUCUCAGUGCCAGCGAGAGCGUCACCAUGGCUCUUCUUCAUGUAAAGGGAAGCUGUUGCGUUUGGAAAAGAUAGUCUUAUUCAUCUUCGGCCUCAGAUCCGCAGUGCUCUCUUCCGUGGUCUCAGUGAACCAGAGCUCAAGAUCUUAUUAUUGCAGGCCAGGAUCAGAUGCCUCUGUUUUAGCUCUAAUUAUAGUAUAUAUAACAUGGCGCUUAAAUCAUGUGAUUUAUUCACUGUGUUUGUGAUUUGGCGAUUUAUUUGCAAUCAUGCUUCAUUACCGAUUGUUCAUAUAUAGAAAGCUUUCCCCAAUAAGUAAUGCGUGGAGGCCACUCUGGAGGAGACCGCCAAUAAGUAAGCUCAAGACCCCCGAGGACCCAUUUUGGCCAUCUCAAGCAUGCCUCAGUUGUUUGCUGGCUUUGCCUCCAGCGCCAUGGUCCUCAUGUGUGCUGUCCUCUUCCUUAUUGCGCACUCAUAGAAUUCCUAACGAGAGGUGAGGGGCACGUAAGAGCUCGAGAGAAUUGAGCGGAAGAAGAUGAAGCUGCAACAUAGGAACAUGGCAUCCGUGUGUGGGAGGGUGAGGUAAAGAAGAUCCGGACAUGUGGAGCAAGGGCUAAUUUGGUCAUUUCUCAGUGGACUAUUUUAGGCAGGGAUGACAAUAGCUGAAAAGUGACGGCAAUUGAAAAAA